UACGUAGGGUGCGAGCGUUGUCCGGAAUUAUUGGGCGUAAAGGGCUCGUAGGCGGUUUGUCGCGUCGGGAGUGAAAACACCGGGCUUAACUCGGUGCUUGCUUUCGAUACGGGCAGACUAGAGGUAUGCAGGGGAGAACGGAAUUCCUGGUGUAGCGGUGAAAUGCGCAGAUAUCAGGAGGAACACCGGUGGCGAAGGCGGUUCUCUGGGCAUUACCUGACGCUGAGGAGCGAAAGUAGGUGGGACGCAACAGG
rnacentral:rRNA from 1 species